GACGAACGCUGGCGGCGUGCCUAAUACAUGCAAGUUGAGCGCUGAAGGUUGGUACUUGUACCAACUGGAUGAGCAGCGAACGGGUGAGUACCGCGUGGGGAAUCUGCCUUUGAGCGGGGGGCAACAUUAGGAAACGAAUGCUAAUACCGCAUAAAAACUUUAAACACAAGGUUUAAGUUUGAAAGAUGCAAUUGCAUCACUCAAAGAUGAUCCCGCGUUGUAUUAGCUAGUUGGUGAGGUAAAGGCUCACCAAGGCGAGGAUACAUAGCCGACCUGAGAGGGUGAUCGGCCACAUUGGGACUGGGACACGGCCCAAACUCCUACGGGGGGCAGCAGUAGGGAAUCUUCGGCAAUGGACGAAAGUCUGACCGAGCAACGCCGCGUGAGUGAAGAAGGUUUUCGGAUCGUAAAACUCUGUUAGUAGAGAAGAACGUUGGUGAGAGUGGAAAGCUCAUCAAGUGACGGUAACUACCCAGAAAGGGACGGCUAACUACGUG
rnacentral:rRNA from 1 species